ACUCAAAGGAAUUGACGGGGGCCCGCACAAGCGGCGGAGCAUGCGGAUUAAUUCGAUGCAACGCGAAGAACCUUACCAAGACUUGACAUAUUCAGGAAAACUGCAGAAAUGUAGUCCCCCGCAAGGGUCUGUUUACAGGUGGUGCAUGGUUGUCGUCAGCUCGUGUCGUGAGAUGUUAGGUUAAGUCCCGCAACGAGCGCAACCCUCGUCCUAUGUUGCCAGCACGUUAUGGUGGGAACUCAUGGGAGACUGCCGGGGUCAACUCGGAGGAAGGUGGGGAUGACGUCAAAUCAUCAUGCCCCUUAUGUCUUGGGCUUCACGCAUGCUACAAUGGCCGGUACAAAGGGCUGCAAUACCGCAAGGUGGAGCGAAUCCCAAAAAGCCGGUCUCAGUUCGGAUUGAGGUCUGCAACUCGACCUCAUGAAGUCGGAGUCGCUAGUAAUCGCAGAUCAGCAACGCUGCGGUGAAUACGUUCCCGGGCCUUGUACACACCGCCCGUCAAGUCACGA
rnacentral:rRNA from 1 species